GCUUCGACUAAGGUUCGACUCGAGCGCCAGCGAGAGAGCGUUGCCGCAGGCAACGACCCGUAGGGCGAAGCGCGCAGCGCUGAGUAAUCCUUCCCCCACCACCA
rnacentral:sRNA from 1 species